CCUUAAUAAACAAUUUUUUUUUUAUUUUAACCAUCAUCUAUUUUCAUCAAAUUAUUUACUCUUUAAAAGUUUUAAUUUUACUAUCUACUUUUUUAAUUUUUUUUAUUUGAACCGAUUAGUGAUUCCUUAUUUUUGUGAGUCAUCAAAUCAGUCAAAUUAAAUAAAUUGAAAAGUUAGCCGAAUCAAAAUAAUCAACCGUUCAGAUAAAUUUUAUAUAUUUUUAUCAAAUUUUAAAUUU
rnacentral:lncRNA from 1 species